GUAUUAUAGGGUUCCGUUCAAUCAUUAACUACUUCCUGCUGUGUUGAGUUGGGACAAAGAGGGGAAGUCGGGGCUGGGGGCUUGGUGGGAACUUGUGUGUACUGAUGGAGGAACAUUUGGUUGACAGCCACCUGGGAAACUUUGGAUUUGGCUUCAGAGGAACCUGAGAAAACAGGGUAUAAGCAUGAAGACAAGGCAGAUAAAUCUUGGAAAGAAAAGUGAGCAUGGAUCCUGACAAUACCCUCAGUUCCCGCCACUGCCUGGAGAGGACAGAGAAGGCUUUCUCCUGCGCUUGCACAUCUCUCUUAGAGGUACCAAGAAAGAAAAUGGGAUUUGCCUCACCUUCCUGGCACCAGGAACUGGGUGGGAAGAAGGUAUUUUCAUGGA